AUGGUACGAGUACUCGCGGAUGAAAUGUGAAGGUAUGAAGCUAACCCCACUCACGCACAAUGCCUAACUGUGGUUCGAACUAUCAUCAGGCAGUACCCAAAGAGUUUUGCUGAUAUUGCACCAGAUGGGUCACUUCUGUGUGGAGGUUAUACAUCACUUUUGAUUCAAUUAAAAAACCGCAUUGAGAAUACGAACCGUGAUGGAAGCUUCUCAUGCCACCGAUCCUCUACAGGCAAGAGGGGUCCAACUGACACAUAUGGAUGUACACGAUUUCAGCCAGAGCUUCCCCCAGAAGAAACUGAUGAAACUGUGGAGCAGCACCGCCAGAGACUGGAGGAGAUUUACAGACAGGAGGGUGCAGGUGGAGCAGAAAGAGCAGAAGUUAAAAAUCUAAUGGAGCUCACAUUCUCUCUACAAUAUCGCCAUAUAAAUACACAUCCACCACCUGACAUUGAAGAUGUGAAAAGCAAAUGGCCUUUUCUUUUCACGCCAAGGUAUAUAUACGCGCAUUUUGAGUUGCUCACAAACAUCAAUGUGCUUCGUAGCUUGGAACUCAGUAUGGAGGAAUGUGGAAGAGCCAUCACAGAAUACUUCAGGGGAAAACCUACCAACAAAGAUGUCAAGGAUAUCCUCUCUAAUGGUGAAGAUAAUGAGAUGGCACUUCGUGUUGUUCAGCUGCUCAUGGCACACUUUGGAGAGGGCCUAACCAUGCUGAUCCUUCUUACAGAUGUGUCUGCCACUGCAUCUGACGUUGAGACAACUCUCAGUCUUCCUGCAAGUCCUCCCCUGAUACUGCCUGGUAAUAUACAUUUAAUUUAGAUUCAUUGAUAGACACAUUGUAUAUCAUAUCGGCCAUUCAUCUUGAGUUUACAAAUGCUUACACAAGGUAACAAGUAUUCCCAUUUUGCUGAGGGCAAGUCACAAUUAAGGGUUGGAUGAUCACCUUUGAGGGCCGUGUAAUCUCUGAGAGCAUCACACCAACAUUUGCAAUGGGACUUGCUGCUAUGUUUGCAAUCUACUACAUAUUCAACCUUCAGUAUCAAGAUGAGGCAGCCUGCACUCUGGAAUUCAUUCAAAGGUGCUUCAUUGGUAUAAAUCCAGAGAGAGGGACAAAGGCCAAAAGGGGCAAGGUUGUUUCCAAGAAGAAAGGUGUGAUCGUCCAGAAGAAGUCUUUUGCAGUCAAUACACACGUCGCCAUGCUACUGAACAAUCUCCUUGACUUUGAAUGGAACUUCAUAUAGAUCGUGGCAGCACUGGAAUAAUGCUGCAGAGAGGAACAGCGGCUACCAAAGUGAUGGUCAUCUCUCCUGGAUCCACAAGAACUAAGAUGUAAAAACACAAGCCUAUCUCACAGGACAAUUUUAAGAGGUAACCUGCAAGUCUAGCUUGCAGUGGCACAGGUGCCUACCUUACAGUUUCAUCCCUAAAUGUUUUUAUUGAUGCAUAUUAUUGAUACAUCCUGCCAAAAUGUUCUACUAUUCUAUAAUAGUUUCAAAAUGGCCUUAAUGCACAUUUUCAAAAUGUUCUUAAGUAUGUUUUUAAAAUGUUGCCAAUUCUGCAUAUGUUCAAAUGUUAUUAUGAAAGUAUAUUUUUACA